rnacentral:lncRNA from 1 species
ACAGAGAGAAACACAGCAGGAGCCCUUUAACGGGAAGGACAAUGGGGGAAGAAGACUGCCCAGAGUAGUUUCCAGGCUCAUCUUCAGCAGAUUUUCUCAAAAAUAAGUGCCAUUGAGAUCAAGGCAUCAGCUAACUAGCAUACAUAUGAUUAAGACUUCACUCUGCAGCACAUUGACAGCCAUCUUGUUGGCCUGUGGCUUCUCACCUAAAGGUAAAAUGGAAUGAAGAAGAACCUGGUUCAGCGACUUCCAGCAGUUUGAUGGCAUAAGCUAAAGCUUCCCUUAUCCCAGUGAAAGGCCAUUUAACCUAGCAAGGCCAUCCCCGCCCACCCUCAGUAAAGCAAGGCAAUAAAAGAAAAACACAAAAAACA